rnacentral:rRNA from 1 species
AUUGAACGCUGGCGGCAGGCUUAACACAUGCAAGUCGAGCGGAGAUGAGGUGCUUGCACCUUAUCUUAGCGGCGGACGGGUGAGUAAUGCUUAGGAAUCUGCCUAUUAGUGGGGGACAACAUUCCGAAAGGAAUGCUAAUACCGCAUACGUCCUACGGGAGAAAGCAGGGGAUCUUCGGACCUUGCGCUAAUAGAUGAGCCUAAGUCGGAGUAAGCUAGUUGGUGGGGUAAAGGCCUACCAAGGCGACGAACUGUAGCGGGUCUGAGAGGAGGACCCGCCGCACUGGCACUGAGACACGGCCCAGACUCCUACGGGAGGCAGCAGUGGGGAAUAUUGGACAAGGGGGGGAACCCUGAUCCAGCCAUGCCGCGUGUGUGAAGAAGGCCUUAUGGUUGUAAAGCACUUUAAGCGAGGAGGAGGCUACUGAGACUAAUACUCUUGGAUAGUGGACGUUACUCGCAGAAUAAGCACCGGCUAACUCUGUGCCAGCCGCCGCCGUAAUAC